rnacentral:rRNA from 1 species
ACAGGAAGAAGCUUGCUUCUUUGCUGACGAGUGGCGGACGGGUGAGUAAUGUCUGGGAAACUGCCUGAUGGAGGGGGAUAACUACUGGAAACGGUAGCUAAUACCGCAUAACGUCGCAAGACCAAAAAGGGGGACCUUCGGGCCUCUUGCCAUCGGAUGUGCCCAGAUGGGAUUAGCUAGUAGGCGGGGUAACGGCCCACCUAGGCGACGAUCCCUAGCUGGUCUGAGAGGAUGACCAGCCACACUGGAACUGAGACACGGUCCAGACUCCUACGGGAGGCAGCAGUGGGGAAUAUUGCACAAUGGGCGCAAGCCUGAUGCAGCCAUGCCGCGUGUAUGAAGAAGGCCUUCGGGUUGUAAAGUACUUUCAGCGGGGAGGAAGGGAGUAAAGUUAAUACCUUUGCUCAUUGACGUUACCCGCAGAAGAAGCACCGGCUAACUCCGUGCCAGCAGCCGCGGUAAUACGGAGGGUGCAAGCGUUAAUCGGAAUUACUGGGCGUAAAGCGCACGCAGGCGGUUUGUUAAGUCAGAUGUGAAAUCCCCGGGCUCAACCUGGGAACUGCAUCUGAUACUGGCAAGCUUGAGUCUCGUAGAGGGGGGUAGAAUUCCAGGUGUAGCGGUGAAAUGCGUAGAGAUCUGGA